CCUCCUCCCCUCCCCUCCCCGUCAGCCCGCGCGGCGGCCGUGGGCACGCAGUGAGGCCCGGGCUGGGGCUGACCGGGACGGAGGGCGGAAGGAGGCAUGCGUCUUAGAUGCGCGUGGAGGGUCAGGCCGUUUACAGGAAACGAAGACGUUUAGAGGAAAAGACAAAGCCACCCUAGAAUAUAGGACUGUGGGUUCAACCUUUAAAAGACUAAAGUGAAGAAGAGGGGGCGGUGGACACCUUGUGGUGAGGCAGAGUCUGCAGACACUGGUGCCUACAAUGCUUCCCUUCUCGGAUCCAUGUGCUCUUCCAUCGAGGGAGAGAGGAAGGAGAGGAAUUAGAAACUUGGUGAGAACCAUUGAUCCAAAUGCCUCAUGAAAGCACCCUACUGGAGAUGGAGCCCACAAUCCAGGCAUGUGCCCUGACUGGGAAUUGAACCUGCCACCUUAUCAGCGAGGGCCUUUUAAUAUCC